rnacentral:rRNA from 1 species
ACGUACGCUGGCGGCACGCCUAACACAUGCAAGUCGAACGAAGUAGCAAUACUUAGUGGCAGACGGGUGAGUAACAUGUAGGUAUCUGCCCUUUGGCCUGGAAUAACACGAGGAAACUUGUGCUAAUACCGGAUAAGUCUUUACGGAGAAAGCUUUAUGCACCAUUGGAUGAGCCUGCACUUGAUUAGUUUGUUGGUGGGGUAAUGGCCUACCAAGACUGUGAUCAAUAGCUGAUUUGAGAGGAUGAUCAGCCACAUUGGGACUGAGACACGGCCCAAACUCCUACGGGAGGCAGCAGUGGGGAAUCUUGCACAAUGGAGGAAACUCUGAUGCAGCGAUGCCGCGUGAGUGAAGAAGGCCUUUGGGUUGUAAAGCUCUUUCGUCGGGGAAGAAAAUGACUGUACCCGAAUAAGAAGGUCCGGCUAACUUCGUGCCAGCAGCCGCGGUAAUACGAAGGGACCUAGCGUAGUUCGGAAUUACUGGGCUUAAAGAGUUCGUAGGUGGUUGAAAAAGUUGGUGGUGAAAUCCCAGAGCUUAACUCUGGAACUGCCAUCAAAACUUUUCAGCUAGAGUUUGAUAGAGGAAAGCAGAAUUUCUAGUGUAGAGGUGAAAUUCGUAGAUAUUAGAAAGAAUACCAAUUGCGAAGGCAGCUUUCUGGAUCAUUACUGACGCUGAGGAACGAAAGCAUGGGUAGCGAAGAGGAUUAGAUACCCUCGUAGUCCAUGCCGUAAACGAUGUGUGUUAGACGUUGGAAAUUUAUUUUCAGUGUCGCAGCGAAAGCAAUAAACACACCGCCUGGGGAGUACGACCGCAAGGUUAAAACUCAAAUGAAUUGACGGGGACCCGCACAAGUAGUGGAGCAUGUGGUUUAAUUCGAAGAUACGCGCAGAACCUUACCAACACUUGACAUGUUCGUCGCGACUUUAAGAGAUUAAAGUUUUCGGUUCGGCCGGACGAAACACAGGUGCUGCAUGGCUGUCGUCAGCUCGUGUCGUGAGAUGUUGGGUUAAGUCCCGCAACGAGCGCAACCCUCACUUUUAGUUGCCAUCAUUAAGUUGGGCACUCUGAAAGAACUGCCAGUGAUAAGCUGGAGGAAGGUGGGGAUGACGUCAAGUCCUCAUGGCCCUUACGUGUUGGGCUACACACGUGCUACAAUGGUAUCUACAACAGGAAGCAAAACGGCGACGUUAAGCAAAUCCCUAAAAGAUACCUCAGUUCGGAUUGCACUCUGCAACUCGAGUGCAUGAAGCUGGAAUUACUAGUAAUCGUGGAUCAGCGUGCCACGGUGAAUGCGUUCCCGGGUCUUGUACUCACCGCCC